rnacentral:rRNA from 1 species
GAGUUUGAUCCUGGCUCAGAACGUACGCUGGCGGCACGCCUAACACAUGCAAGUCGAACGAAGUAGCAAUACUUAGUGGCAGACGGGUGAGUAACAUGUAGGUAUCUGCCCUUUGGCCUGGAAUAACACGAGGAAACUUGUGCUAAUACCGGAUAAGUCUUUACGGAGAAAGCUUUAUGCACCAUUGGAUGAGCCUGCACUUGAUUAGUUUGUUGGUGGGGUAAUGGCCUACCAAGACUGUGAUCAAUAGCUGAUUUGAGAGGAUGAUCAGCCACAUUGGGACUGAGACACGGCCCAAACUCCUACGGGAGGCAGCAGUGGGGAAUCUUGCACAAUGGAGGAAACUCUGAUGCAGCGAUGCCGCGUGAGUGAAGAAGGCCCUUGGGUUGUAAAGCUCUUUCGUCGGGGAAGAAAAUGACUGUACCCGAAUAAGAAGGUCCGGCUAACUUCGUGCCAGCAGCCGCGGUAAUACGAAGGGACCUAGCGUAGUUCGGAAUUACUGGGCUUAAAGAGUUCGUAGGUGGUUGAAAAAGUUAGUGGUGAAAUCCCAGAGCUUAACUCUGGAACUGCCAUUAAAACUUUUUAGCUAGAGUAUGAUAGAGGAAAGCAGAAUUUCUAGUGUAGAGGUGAAAUUCGUAGAUAUUAGAAAGAAUACCAAUUGCGAAGGCAGCUUUCUGGAUCAUUACUGACACUGAGGAACGAAAGCAUGGGUAGCGAAGAGGAUUAGAUACCCUCGUAGUCCAUGCCGUAAACGAUGUGUGUUAGACGUUGGAAAUUUAUUUUCAGUGUCGCAGCGAAAGCGAUAAACACACCGCCUGGGGAGUACGACCGCAAGGUUAAAACUCAAAUGAAUUGACGGGGACCCGCACAAGUAGUGGAGCAUGUGGUUUAAUUUCGAAGAUACGCGCAGAACCUUACCACACUUGACAUGUUCGUCGCGACUCUAGAGAUUAGAGUUUUCGGUUCGGCCGGGACGAA